GGGGGCUCAUUGCUGACCCUAAGAUGAGUACAGAAACCAAGAGAGUGAUCAAAUGUUGUGAUGGGUAAAAUUACAUCCCCUGCUACCCAGAAGAGUUCUCAGAGAAACCUGCCCAGAAAAAGUCAGGAGAAAGAAGAAAGAAAAGGGGCUGAGGCAACCAGAGAAGGAACACAGGCUAACCACAAGGCAUGCCACUCCUGGGACCCAGUAAGAAGGACUUGCCCCAUCCUUGAUGGCCAAUAUGUGGACUAAUAAAAUGUAUGGGACAUUAGUCUUACCGUCAAGCAAUCAUACAUGAACACAAAGGAGGAAGUCAUGCCUGGAACUCCUUUUUCAAAGGAGCAUACCAUUAAAAUUUAGAAUGUGGCCAUAUCUCCACCUUCCCCAAACCCAGUGGCCUUUUCCUAAUCCACAUUCAAAUCAACUAGUAUUUUUUCAGAAAGAACCUUAUAGAUGGCUUAUGCGGAGGUAUUUCAAAGGAACCAGCUAUAUGAUCCUGAUGACGAUCAUUACUACUGCGGAAUGUCUGUUA
rnacentral:lncRNA from 10 species